AUGCUCAGGUCUUGCCACUUCUCUGCAGUCGCUACUUGGAGAGCUUUGUUGAUGGCACUCUGUCAUGCCCACCGCCAUACCAUCCGGGGCAUCAUACGUGUGUGGCCCAGGGUCAGGCCAUUCUCUCUGCCAUCCAGUCCUCCCUUACGGAGGGGUUCUCGUCACUGGUCUUCUUCACCGCUACGUCUGAGGAUGCGUAGAUGGUUCUUCAUACCAGUUUUGCUUCGCAGUCUCAGGUGCGGGCUCACUCCAUCCGCACUGCGCUUGGGGAGGUGA
rnacentral:rRNA from 1 species